CUUCGGGGAGCAACAAAAAUGGGGUGACAUCCUCCCCCACUCAAUCCGGCAAUGCCCUCAUUGCCUCACGCUGGUAGCGUUUCAGUAGAUCCUCGUGCUGCCACAGACUCAACUCGUGUUCCCAACUAGUCUCCUCAACCGCACGACCUUUCCAUCUUACCAAGUACUCGGUGUAUCCAGGAUGAGCGCCCCACUGUGGAACCACUCGGUGCAUCAAAAUCUCUUCGGGUUCAUGCUCAAAACUCCUCGUUAUAGCUACUGGUGCCCGUUUAGAUUUAUUCCUGGCCGGGUCCUCUUCAUCUGCGUGGUAAGGUUUAAGGAGACUAACGUGGAACACUGGAUGGCACUCCAAAUGUGCAGGCAGCCUGAUUCUGUAUGCUACUUUCCCAAUCCGCUGUUCAACCAUAAACGGUCCCUCGUAUUUCCGAAGCAAUCCCUUGUGCCGUUUACCAUGGGUACGGGGGAACAUCCUCACAAGUACCAUGUCCCCCUCGGAAAACUCCAAAUGCCGCCUCCUUGAAUCUGCCCACUUCUUCAUUUUCUUGGUGGCUCGGGCCAAGGAGACCUUAGCAAGCUCCACGGUCUCUUUCCACCCCUUGGCAAACUUAAAAGCACUCGGGUUGGGUCCCCUAUACGGUAUCAUCACAGUGUGGGGCGUGAGGGGCUGCUGCCCCGUAACUAUCUCGAAUGGUGUUGCCCCCGUCGAUUCACUCUUCUGCAAGUUGUAGGAGAACUGCGCCACAUCCAGCAAAUCUGGCCAGUCCCUCUGAUUUGCGGCAACAAAAUGCCUCAGAUACAGCUCAAGUAGUGCAUUAAUCCGCUCGGUUUGCCCAUCCGUCUGUGGGUGAAAACUGGUGGAGAACUUCAGUUCGGUCCCCAUAAUUCUGAAUAACUCUGUCCAGAAUCGGCCUGUGAACCUUGCAUCUCGGUCACUAACUAUGUCCCUCGGCAGCCCCCAGUACUUCACAACACCACGGAAAAAUAACCUCGCUGCCUCCUUUGCAUCAAACAAAGCCGGAGCUGGAAUAAAUACUGCAUACUUGCUCAAUCUGUCCACAACAACCAUAAUGUUGCC
rnacentral:misc_RNA from 1 species